AAGGAUAUGUUAGAGAAAGCAUGAGUCCUUGUUCGGUUCCUGUGAUUUUGGUACCCAAGAAAGAUGACACGUGGAGGAUGUGUGUUGAUUGUCGAGCCAUCAACAAGAUAACGACCAAGUCAACUUCCUAGGGUUCUUAGUUGGAAAGAAGGGAGUACAAGUUGAUGAAGAAAAGGUAAAAGCUAUUAGAGAAUGGCCAACACCCACAAAUGCAACCGAGUGGGAUAGGCAUAGGGGCUGUUUUAAUGCAGGAAAAAAGGCCAAUCAUGUUCUUUAGUGAAAAGCUUAAUGGAGCACAACUCAACUAUCCGACUUAUGA